ensembl:lncRNA
GUACUCCGGGGCAACCGAUAUACACAGAGAACCACGUGGAGGAAACAGCACGCCAGUUUGGAGCGGUGGAGCACAAAAGAAGUGGACUGGAAUGUGACGCGACCGGGCAGCUGGAAGGUAUUGGAAUAGAGUAGUGUCAACGGAGAAGUCUCUGAACUUGAGCCCUGAACCGUAUCAACUUUCAGAUUUUAGGGAAGACUUAAUGUUCCUGUCCCGCUCCUUUCCACCGGAAUUGGGGGGAGGUCCAGUUCCUGAUCUUUACUUUAUUGCCACUUUUAAAGACACUCUGCUCAGUUUUUUUCCCCACGGCCCAGUGGAUAUUGAUGACUGCGUGGGUGGGUAAACAGGGGCACUGAAUCAAUGCAAGGAAUUCUCUUUGGACUAUCAAAGCAUGCCGCUCAGAUUCUUAGUAUAACCUUCUCCUCUCCUCCGCACUGGUGAAGAGAACUAUCCAACCAGGAACUGGGGACAUAGCAGUGAACAAAACAGGCACAAUCCCUGCCCUUAAGGAGCUUACCUUCCAGUAGAAGCAGAAAGAUAAUGAAAAAGCUGCUGCUGGGUCCCUUUGAGCACUGCUAAACUGGAGUGGCAGAGUG